UAACCUACCAAGCUUCCUCGGGCCUUAUUGCUUAAUCAUUGCAGUCAAACAAGUCAGACAUCCAUUGUUGUGGUGAGUUUAAUAAGGGCAAAUCAUAUUUUACCUUGGGACAUAUUAUUAAGGACGCAAUAAUAAUCAUUUUAAUGGAAAACUUUUCUUCUGUCGUUACAAAUUACGUCGAUAUUCCUUCUUAAUUCGCUAGGUAACGUUAUGGGAAAGGGUUUCUUGGAGAAAUGUGGCAAAUCAUCUCUUGCUGCAACAGAAAUGUAGACCUAGUUUUCAGACCCUGUGGGAGGGUUUUGAGAGGUCAUUGUCAUUUAAUUUAGACCUGGCAACCCUGCUCAAAGCAGAGGGGAAGAAACCAUCAGGAGUGUAAUUAAUCCAUGUGCAGUUCCUCCUCCACGGACUUAUCUACAAUCAUCAUAACAGUGUGUAAUAAAUUGUGUAAGACAGGGUAAAUGCGUCCGUAUGCUUCAGUUCGGCUGGCGUCUAGCCGAAGUCAGUUAGGCGAACCGAACUGGUAUGCUCGCAUGCACUCAAAAUACAUUUAUUGAGUAGCCUUUCUGGAUCUCUUCAAAUAGCCAUCUACGGCCAAACAAGAAAGUGAAGACACACCCAAACAAGGAAACCGAGAUCGCCAGGCUGGUCGUUAUGGCGCACACCUGUCACCAUCGUUACGCGCACCUGCGUGUCGUCAGACUCACCUGGACUCCAUCACUUCCUUGAUUACCUGCCCUAUAUAUGUCACUCCCUUUGGAUCCUUCCCCAGGCGUCAUUGUUUCUGUUUCGUCUCAGUGCGUUGUUCGAGGUUCUUGGUUUGCUUUAUGUUCCGUUUAUUUUAUUAAAACACUCACUCACUCCCUGAACUUGCUUCCCGACUCUCAGCGCACAUCGUUAUGAUUUAAAGCCAUAUAAAUCAAUACCGUUUUCACAGAUUAUGACAGAAAAAUCUAACUCAGUAUGUGAUUUAUUCUAUAAAUGUCUGUAUACUUUAGCAACCUUUUGUUUUGAGUAAACAUUCCAGUUUUGAUUUGAUAGAAAUCUAUAAAAUGCAAUUUAAAGAACUAUAAACCAAUAACUAAUUCACUGUUAGUCACAGAAAUAUCAAACUAGGUAUGAUUUAUUCUAUAAAUGUCUAGCAUACUUUUCCAAUUUUUGUUUUGAGGAAAAAUUCCAGUUUUGAUUUGAUAGAGGGCAUCUAGAGGGUGUGUGGUCAAAGUUCUAACGAGUCUGUUAUACACUAUUAGAAAGGGCCUGGUAUAUUAAAUUAGACUACAGGAAAAAACUAAGGGAUGAAGGGGUCAGACCUGACUAACAAAGAAGACAGGUGGAUGGAUCAAGAGGAUGAACACGUGAAAUUGUCAAGAAACUGAAGAUCUCGUACAACGCUGUGCACUACUCCCAUUCAUUGUCUGUGGAUGACAAAGAAGGAAUUCAACAAAGCCAAAAUAGAAAAUGAUUUGAAGGGUCCUCUUUGCUGUUAAAUUAGAGACGUAAAAAUAAAUGAUAGUUGUGUCUUCUAACUA